ensembl:lncRNA
CCUUCUUCCCCCUCCCCUAUCUGCUUUCGGAAAACGUUUUUUUUCCCCCCUUCUUUACAACCCUCUCUUCCGAAACCGGACGAGGCUCAGUUUGGGAGGGAAGUGGAACUGGAGAUGUUCCUUGACGAGAGGACAGCAUGUCAACAUGAGCGCGUCUUUGUACAGGCUGCGCCGGGAGAAGACAAGGCGGCGAUAUACACAUCUUUGUCCUUGAUUAUGGUCAUUAUGCAAAGCGAAUUACUAACAAAAGUUUGUUUGGUAACUAAUUAUAGCGCACUAAAUCUCUGCCUCUCUUCACUUCAGCAUAAUGUAUACAAACUUUUGUACACGCGGAUCAGAAUAAAACAAAGUGUUGACAGCAUCCAGCAGUGGAAAUUCACUUACACGAGACUUUUUUUCACUGAAGUGUUGACAAUAAACAUUUAAUGAAGGCAGAGACUUGGAUGUCUCCAGACAGUGUCAGAAUACUUUAAACAGACCAUUAGCAUGGCUUCUUCUACUUCAAACAGAGCACACUAUACCAUAACAUUAUAAAAAUACAAAGUACGAAACAAAUAAUCUGUUUAUACAGAUAUUUUAAGCUGUUUUCACCAGCUCUGACAUCCCCUGUAUUUAGUAACAGAAACUUACUCAUUUCAGAUUACUCGCGCUUAAAAAAUGUUAAAUACAGUUAAUGCAAUAUUAAUCGCCCUUUGGUGAUAUAAAAUGCAAUAUUUUCAGGCAGCUAUCGAGCUUUUCUAGAGGCAGAGCUGAUGAAAACAGUCACAGCUGAAUAGUGGAGAGAAAAAAGCUCGGUAUUUAUUGCUUUUGUUUGGCUUUUGGCUACAGAGACAGGAACAUUCUAAUGGGGAGUUUUUAAAGCUUCUUUCUAGAUUCUUAAGUGCAGCACAACAGAGAGAAAGUGGCUGUUUGGUCUUUACUGGAGUCUCUCAGGAAAAUACAGCAGAAGGCCACAGAGCUGGAAAUAUCUGCAUGUACUUCAAGUGACUUAACUGGAAAAGAAUGCUGCUGGGAUAUAUAUGGAGCAGCAGCACAGAGGAGCUCCUCAACUGCCCCUCAUCACCAUAUGAAAGAGGACAGAAUGUAUGUGCCUACUGUACUGAUCAGUGCAAUGCACAGACGGAAGGACUGGGACUCAGUUUGCUGUGGUGUGUCAUGAUUCUCAGAUCACAGAUCGACACUGCCUGUGAUUUCCUGGUGAUGAAGUUCACAGUGGCUGCAAGUCCCAGAUGUGUCCUGGUAAAUCAAGAAAGAAAUUACUGUCAAAGUGGGAGGACAAGCACACUGUAUAACAGCUCUGGAGGAAUCAUAGAAUGGCUUGGGUUGGAAGAGAUCCCAAGGAUCAUUGAGUUCCAACCCCCUGCCACAGGCGGAUCCACCAACCUCCAGAUCUGGCACUAGACCAGACUGCCCAGGGCCCCAUCCAACCUGUCUUGAACACCUCCAAGGGAUGAGGCAUCCACAGCCACUCUGGGCAGCCUGUUCCAGAUGUACACACGAUUUAAAUAUCAAUAACAAUACUUUCAAGUUUUCUUGAGAUUGGAAAUUUCAAAGAAAUGAUUGAUUGCAUCUCAGAAUGAUAUAGCAAAUCUCAAAUCUCAGAUUGUGCCUGGGAAGGUUCAGAUUGGAAAUUAGGAGGAAUUUUUUCAUGGAGAGAGUGAUCAAGCAUUGGAACAGUCUGCUCAAGGAAGUGGUGAAAUCCCCAUCUCUGAAGGUAUGUAGGAGACAUGUGAAUGCGGCACUAAAGGACAUGCUUUAGUUAUGGGACCCGUUAGGUCAGGUUGACAGUUGGACUUGAGGAUCUUGAAGUUCUUUUCCAAUCUAAAUGAUUCUGCUAUUCUAAGUCAGAAUAAAUGGGAGAAGAUAUACAGGAUUUAUCAGAAAAAGGAAAGCUGUGUGUUCCAGCUUGGU